rnacentral:rRNA from 1 species
UCGAACGAAUCCCAUCUGGGCAACUGGGUGGGGGAAGUGGCGAAAGGGGCAGUAAAGCGUGGGUAACCUACCCCGGGGACUGGGAUAGCCGUCCUAACGGACGGGUAAUACCGGGCGAUCUGGCGAGGAGGCAUCUCCUUGCUAGGAAAUGAAUCUCGCCUCGGGAGGGGCUCACGUAGUAUUAGCUUGUUGGCGGGGUAACGGCCCACCAAGGCCAAGAUGCUUAGCGGGUGUGAGAGCACGACCCGCGCCACUGGCACUGAGACACUGGCCAGACUCCUACGGGAGGCUGCAGUCGAGGAUCUUCGGCAAUGGGCGCAAGCCUGACCGAGCGACGCCGCGUGUGCGAUGAAGGCCUUCGGGUUGUAAAGCACUGUCGAGGGGGAGAAAAGCCCGCAAGGGUCUGAUCUAUCCCUGGAGGAAGCACGGGCUAAGUUCGUGCCAGCAGCCGCGGUAAGACGAACCGUGCGAACGUUGUUCGGAUUCACUGGGCUUAAAGGGCGCGUAGGCGGACGGUCAAGUCGGGGGUGAAAUCUUUCAGCUUAACUGGAAACGUGCCUUCGAUACUGAUCGUCUCGAGGGAGGCAGGGGCAUGCGGAACUUCCGGUGGAGCGGUGAAAUGCGUAGAUAUCGGAAGGAACGCCGGUGGCGAAAGCGGCGUGCUGGACCUCUUCUGACGCUGAGGCGCGAAAGCCAGGGGAGCGAACGGGAUUAGAUACCCCGGUAGUCCUGGCCCUAAACGAUGGGUACUAGAUUGUGGACUUAACAUGGGUUCCCAAUCGAAGCUAAAGUGUUAAGUACCCCGCCUGGGGAGUAUGGUCGCAAGGCUGAAACUCAAAGGAAUUGACGGGGGCUCACACAAGCGGUGGA